rnacentral:lncRNA from 1 species
UAUACUUUUCACAUACAGCAACAUAGUCAGAAAAUUAUUAUGACCAUGUUUCAGGUUUCAUAGUAAGCCUUUUUUGGGGAGAAAUGAAUUAUUGCAGGCCCAAGAGCUAUGUGGCUGCUGAAAGACUACCAAUCUGUGACGGCCCCUCCCUCCAGAUGAGUGCUAUCAAAAACAUGCCCACGCUGUCUGAGCAAAACAAUAGCAAGAAGAGCUUGUUUCCUUACACAAUCCCUGAGAACAAUGUUGAAGAACAGGCUGACUGCAGACUUCAGCCCACAAGAACAUGUUAAGGAGAAAAAAUCUAAAUACAGUUCCAAUAAGAUAUUGCAUCUGACUUGCUAAACUAAAAUAUUUUGUUCUCACAUACUAGAUUUUAAGAAAAAUGUAUGAACAGCUGCUGCAUGUAAGAAUAAUCUACCUAAAGUUUUCUGCACAUAUUAAGGUAAGGCUAGGAACAUUCUUUGCAGCUUGCACCUUCACAGAGGAACUCCUUUCAGCUUCAGGAGCAGUUGAAAGCAUUUACCACCUCAACAAAGUGGGCCUCAGAGACUUAAGUCAGGUGUCUUGAAAAUGGGAGCAUAUAGCAGAAGCUGUAAUUUGGCAGAGGCAAAGAAGAGCUUGCUUAACACAGUACACAGCUCUACCUAUCUCAAACGUUUUCACUGCUUCCCACUCUGCCUGCCUGCAGUUAGUACAUAGUUCCAAGCUUUGUUUUCUGCUUCAGAUGAAAACAGAGGGUUUGAAUGUGACACUAAUCAUUAUAAAAGAUGAAGGAAAAUAUCUGUGCUUCCACGAAGGGGAGGUUCCCAUCCCUUCUAGGGCUCUCCUCACUUCCUUGAUUAGAACCAGCCUGAGGUAUACUCUCCUAAAAUGUGUGUGUUUUAACUACCUGGAUCCACACUUGAAUCUAUACUUGCUAACAUGAAGACUUCCUGAGCAAGCCAAGUCCCUCCAUGAAAGCUGACAGAGGAUUCACUAUGCCUUGAGUAAUUUGUAAAGGAUGAGUGAACUGAGAAAAGCCAGCUGUCUGACAACAGGAUUAAAGUUGUUAGUCUGGACUGUCUGCACAACCAAUGUAUCAGGGUCAAAAAAAAAGCAGAAAAUUACCAACAACAAGUGUAUGUUGUCAAUGAUCCUACUUUGGUCUCCCAAGUCUAGUAACCCUAGAUGUGCACUGCUUGCAUGGAUCUGAGAUAGAAGACAAAAUGAAAGAAAUAGGAACAAUAACUGGAUUUAAAUGGCAAAGAAGUAAGCAAGGAAAACAAAAUAAUACAAGAGCUAGACAAAAUG